UACGUAGGGGGGCAAGCGUUGUCCGGAAUCAUUGGGCGUAAAGAGCGUGUAGGCGGUCCGGUAAAUCGGUUGUGAAAGUCCAGGGCUCAACCCUGGGAUGCCGACCGAUACUGUCGGACUAGAGUUCGGAAGAGGCGAGUGGAAUUCCCGGUGUAGCGGUGAAAUGCGCAGAGAUCCGGAAGAACACCGGUGGCGAAGGCGGCCCGCUGGGCAGGAAGGCUCGCAAGAGCCGGCUGACGCUGAGGCGCGACAGCGUGGGGAGCAAACAGG
rnacentral:rRNA from 1 species